rnacentral:rRNA from 1 species
CCUACGGGAGGCAGCAGUGGGGAAUAUUGCACAAUGGGGGGAACCCUGAUGCAGCGACGCCGCGUGAGUGAAGAAGUAUUUCGGUAUGUAAAGCUCUAUCAGCAGGGAAGAAAAUGACGGUACCUGACUAAGAAGCCCCGGCUAACUACGUGCCAGCAGCCGCGGUAAUACGUAGGGGGCAAGCGUUAUCCGGAUUUGCUGGGUGUAAAGGGAGCGUAGACGGCAGCACAAGUCUGGAGUGAAAUGCCGGGGCUUAACCCCGGAACUGCUUUGGAAACUGUGCAGCUAGAGUGCAGGAGAGGUAAGUGGAAUUCCUGGUGUAGCGGUGAAAUGCGUAGAUAUUAGGAGGAACACCAGUGGCGAAGGCGGCUUACUGGACUGUAACUGACGUUGAGGCUCGAAAGCGUGGGGAGCAAACAGGAUUAGAUACCCGAGUAGUC